rnacentral:rRNA from 1 species
GUUGAACGCUGGCGGCAUGCCUAAUACAUGCAAGUCGAACGCUUUGUCUUAACUUGAUCUUUUGUUCUUGUUCUGAUUUGUUUUUAUCUGCUAAAGAGCGGCCUACUGGUGAGUAAUACGUGGCUAACCUAGCUCCUAGCACCGCAUACCAUUUGGAUACGAGUGCGAAUACUGUUUGACACUCACGAUCUCAUGUUUGCUUGUUGAAGGAUGGCUCUGUUAUCGCUAAGAGAUGGACCCGCGCUGCAUUAGCUAGUUGGUCUGUUAAUGGCUUACCACGGCGAUACUCCGUAACCGGUGUGAGAGGAUGAUCAGACACACUGGGACUGAGACACGGCGCAGACUCCUACGGGAGGCAGCAGUAGGGAAUAUUAGACAAUGGGCGAAAGCCUGAUGCAGCAAGGCCGCGUGUGUGAAGAAGGUCUUCGGAUUGUAAAACACUGUAAUUAGAGAGGAAGGGCAGUAAGAGAAAAAGUUGAUGGUUUGACGGUACCAUAUGAGUAAGCAACGGCUAAGUACGUG